GGGGCUGCUGCAGCGAUAUGCCGAGACCAGGACGACCUAUAUCUGGGUUCAUCGGCAGUUGUUUUUCAAGGAAUCACGGAUCCGAUGAUGCUUGAGACUUAUGCUUGCCAAGAAGCUUUGGCAUUGGUAGAAGAUCUUGCGAUAACCAAUAUAUGUGUGGCCUCGGAUUGCCAAGAAGUGGUCAAUGACAUCAACAGAGGGACAAGAGGUCCCAACGCUGCCCUUGUACAUGAAAUAAUGCUUCGUUGUAAUAGUUUUAAUUCAUACUCGUUUAUUCAUGAGUGUAGGAACCAUAAUUUGAGGCUCACAAUCUCGCCAAGUUUGCUUGUAGCCUAG
rnacentral:rRNA from 1 species